rnacentral:rRNA from 1 species
UACGUAGGGUGCAAGCGUUGUCCGGAAUUAUUGGGCGUAAAGAGCUCGUAGGCGGUUUGUCGCGUCGGCUGUGAAAACCUGGGGCUUAACUCCGGGCCUGCAGCCGAUACGGGCAGACUAGAGUUCGGCAGGGGAGACUGGAAUCCUGGUGUAGCGGUGAAAUGCGCAGAUAUCAGGAGGAACACCAACAGCGAAGGCAGAUCUCUGGGACGUUACUGACGCUGAGACGCGAAAGCGUGGGGAGCAAACAGG